CACAUGCAUACAGCAGCUGAUUUGUUUAGAUAUGGAAUACUUACUGUAACUGUAUAAAAGGGUGGGGGAAGUUACCUGUUGCAGGUGAGGGUGUGGUCAUGACAUUUAAAAAGCAGAAAAUAACUGCAUUUCAGCUUCAGACCAGCAGCUACAGUACAAGGAGAUCCUUCUAAUCAUCAUCAUCAUCAUCAUCAUCAACACGCCAGCAUGCCUGUGAAAGUGCUGAUUGAACACUGCACUAGGUGAGGUUAUGAAGCUCGGUUUCGGGAUUUGGCCUUUGAAAUAAAGAAGGCAGUACCUGAUGCCGAGGUUUCAGCAAUGGUUGGGCGAACAGGCAGUUUCGAGGUGAUGCUGAAUGGAAAGCUAGCAUUCUCCAAACUGCAGAAUAAAGCCUUCCCGUCUACUGCAGAGGUGACCAAAAAGGUGGCGCAGGUGAGUGCGGGCGGUGCUGUGGAGGAGCUGGAGACGAGUGAACCUGUGGAGGCUGUGAGGAAGAAGAAGAAGAGCUCGGUGUGUGUUGUACAGUAGAGAAUGUCGUGUGUGUGUGUGUCUGUGUGUGUGUGUGUGGAGCUGGGAUUCUCUCCUUAUGAUCACACACUCUGAAACCUGAAGGAGUGUGUGUGAUGAUUUCUGAGACAGUUCCCAGCAUGAUCAGUACACACACACACACACACACACACACACACUUUCCUGCACUUUUAAUAAACACUAAUACUCACUAAUACAUUUUAAUCAUUCCUUUAUUUUUAAGAGUGUGUGAAGAAUAAAUCUCACAGUGAAUUAAAGAAAAAAGCGUUAGAAACAUCAUUUAUUAAGUUACAUCAUAUUUUAAUGCACCCGGACAAG